ensembl:lncRNA
AACAAAUUGGGCUGGGACAAAAGUAUGGGCGGCGUCCGCCUGCAGAGGGGACCAAGUAUAAACACUUUUUUUUUUUUUUAACAGAGUGGGGAAUCAUAUGUGCUGGAAACGUCCUUGCUCCACCAGCCGGAGGCCAGGAAGCGAGCGCCAAAUGCUGUUUACAGGACAGCUCUUAUUUCAGGAAUGAAGACUAAGGCUCAGCAGGUAGGAGGCCUUGAGAACAAGCACCGAAUUUCCAAGAAGCCCACGCUGCGACGGAGCUGCAGAGUGCUUGGCUCAGGGAACUCAUUGGAUAAUGAGACAGGAGACGCUUGCGAUGUUGUAAUAAACCCAUGCAAACUCAUCUACAUUAACAGGGGCACCAGCUUACUAUGCUGGGGAAGAUUUGAAGAUCAAGAGUUAGGCAAAACCGAGUUGAAAUCUCAGAUAAAUGACUUCGGAGCAAGAAAACUUUUCCUAGAGGGCUCCUCUCACAAACAGAGUUGGGGCCACAGUCUCAUUCUAAACCAAUCACUGACAAAAGAGGAUUGA